UACGUAGGGUGCGAGCGUUGUCCGGAAUUAUUGGGCGUAAAGAGCUCGUAGGUGGCGGGUCACGUCGGGAGUGAAAGCCCACUGCUUAACGGUGGGUCUGCUUCCGGUACGGGCGGGCUGGAGUAUGGCAGGGGAGACUGGAAUUCCUGGUGUAGCGGUGAAAUGCGCAGAUAUCAGGAGGAACACCGGUGGCGAAGGCGGGUCUCUGGGCCGAUACUGACGCUGAGGAGCGAAAGCGUGGGGAGCGAACAGG
rnacentral:rRNA from 1 species